CCUUGAUGAUGAUGAUUCCACUUCAUGGUCCGUGUUUCUGAAUGCGAUGACGUUGCGGAAGUUCUGACAUU
rnacentral:snoRNA from 1 species